ACUCAUGCGGCUUCUCUUUCCCACAGGGGCACCCUGGCAAAGAGGGCCCCCCCGGAGAGAAAGGAACCCAGGGUCCCCCUGGCCCCCAGGGCCCCAUCGGCUACCCUGGCCCCCGAGGAGUCAAGGGGGCAGACGGCAUCCGAGGUCUGAAGGGCACAAA